rnacentral:sRNA from 1 species
AAUUGCCUCCUGCUUCAGAGCUACCUGAUCCGAAUACUAAGCAGAGCGAGUGCCGGGCUGAGUGUAAGACACUGAAGACACUGCAGAGCAAGGUGCUUAUUCCAGAGGCGUUACAAAACAUGGAGAUUAAAGACCAGGGAGCCCAAAUGGAGCCGCUGCUGCCUACGCCCUGAAGAUGCUGAGACAUAGAGAUGGCUGUGAUUAUCUUUUGUAAGACAGGAAAUGCAGUCUUUAGGGGUUUCUGGAAGUAGAAAGGUCAUGCAGUCUGGAACCUGUGAGCCUUUUCAAUCUCUAAGUCAUCAGCAUGUCCUCAGAAUUAUAUACUUGGAUAAGAAACUACCUAUAUUUGACAUUCAGAUUUUGAAAGAAAUAUAUUUCAUUUUUCAAAAUAUUAUACAUGCUUCUGCCUCAAUGUUAGAGAACUUUUCAGGAUAAUCUUGAUCUUUGGAAUGAUAAAACUGAUUGUAAACUUGCCCAGUAAUGAUUGGUCAUCUUCCUUACAAAGGCUGCCUUCGUUUAUACUAUUUUACAUGCAUUUCAUUAUACAUCAUAAAGGUUUUAAAGAGAAAUGAUGAAGAAGCAGUUGUGGAUAGAGGUGGAACUCGUUCUAUUCUCAAAACACACUUUGAGAAAGAAGAUUUAGAAGGUCAUCGAACACUAUUUAUUGGAGUACAUGUGCCCUUGGGAGGAAGAAAAAGCCAUCGACGUCACAGGCAUCGUGGUCAUAAACACAGAAAGAGAGACAGAGAAAGAGAUUCAGGAUUAGAGGAUGGAAGGGAGUCACCUUCUUUUGACACCCCAUCACAGAGGGUACAGUUUAUUCUUGGAACCGAGGAUGAUGACGAGGAACACAUUCCUCAUGACCUUUUCACAGAACUGGAUGAGAUUUGUUGGCGUGAAGGUGAGGAUGCUGAGUGGCGAGAAACAGCCAGGUGGUUGAAGUUUGAAGAAGAUGUGGAAGAUGGAGGAGAAAGGUGGAGCAAGCCUUAUGUGGCUACUCUUUCAUUGCACAGCUUGUUUGAAUUGAGAAGUUGUAUUCUGAAUGGAACUGUGUUGCUGGACAUGCAUGCCAACACUUUAGAAGAAAUUGCAGAUAUGGUUCUUGACCAACAAGUGAGCUCAGGUCAGCUGAAUGAAGAUGUACGCCACAGGGUCCAUGAGGCAUUGAUGAAACAGCAUCAUCAUCAGAAUCAGAAAAAACUCACCAACAGGAUUCCCAUUGUUCGUUCCUUUGCUGAUAUUGGCAAGAAACAGUCAGAACCAAAUUCCAUGGACAAAAAUGCAGGUCAGGUUGUUUCUCCUCAGUCUGCUCCAGCUUGUGUUGAAAAUAAAAAUGAUGUUAGCAGAGAAAACAGCACUGUUGACUUUAGCAAGGGACUGGGAGGCCAACAAAAGGGGCAUACUAGUCCAUGUGGGAUGAAACAAAGGCAUGAAAAAGGACCUCCACACCAGCAAGAGAGAGAGGUUGAUCUGCAUUUUAUGAAAAAGAUUCCUCCAGGUGCUGAAGCAUCUAACAUCUUAGUGGGAGAACUGGAGUUCUUGGAUCGAACAGUAGUUGCGUUUGUCAGGUUGUCUCCAGCUGUAUUGCUUCAAGGACUGGCUGAAGUCCCAAUCCCAACCAGAUUUUUGUUCAUUCUUCUGGGACCCCUGGGAAAGGGUCAACAGUACCAUGAGAUUGGCAGAUCAAUUGCAACCCUAAUGACAGAUGAGGUAUUUCAUGAUGUUGCCUAUAAAGCUAAAGAUCGUAAUGACUUGGUAUCAGGAAUUGAUGAGUUUCUGGAUCAGGUUACUGUUCUCCCUCCUGGAGAAUGGGAUCCAAGCAUUCGAAUAGAGCCUCCCAAAAAUGUUCCUUCCCAGGAGAAGAGGAAGAUUCCUGCUGUACCAAAUGGAACAGCAGCUCAUGGGGAAGCAGAGCCCCACGGAGGACAUAGUGGACCUGAACUCCAGCGAACUGGAAGGUUAGUGAAAAUCACUUCUAUGGGACUUCAAGGACCAAAUGACAUACCAUUCUUCUCUGUCAGAAAUUGCUAUUUUGGGAUCUAAUUUAUUGUAUACUUUUAAUACCUGCUUUUUGAGGGUGAAAAUGCCAAUUAGUUUGAUUUCUCUG